AUUGAACGCUGGCGGCAUGCCUUACACAUGCAAGUCGAACGGCAGCACGGGUGCCUGCACCUGGUGGCGAGUGGCGAACGGGUGAGUAAUACAUCGGAACGUACCUUAUCGUGGGGGAUAACGCAGCGAAAGCUGUGCUAAUACCGCAUACGCCCUGAGGGGGAAAGCGGGGGAUCGCAAGACCUCGCGCGAUUAGAGCGGCCGAUGCCUGAUUAGCUUGUUGGUGGGGUAAAAGCCCACCAAGGCGACGAUCAGUAGCUGGUCUGAGAGGACGAUCAGCCACACUGGGACUGAGACACGGCCCAGACUCCUACGGGAGGCAGCAGUGGGGAAUUUUGGACAAUGGGGGCAACCCUGAUCCAGCAAUGCCGCGUGAGUGAAGAAGGCCUUCGGGUUGUAAAGCUCUCUUGUCAGGGAAGAAACACCGGCUCUAACACAGUCCGGGAAUGACGGUACCUGAAGAAUAAGCACCGGCUAACUACGUGCCAGCCGCCGCCGUAA
rnacentral:rRNA from 1 species